GAUGAAGAACGUAGCGAAAUGCGAUAAGUAAUGUGAAUUGCAGAAUUCAGUGAAUCAUCGAAUCUUUGAACGCACAUUGCGCCCGCCAGUAUUCUGGCGGGCAUGCCUGUUCGAGCGUCAUUACAACCCUCAGGCCCCCGGGCCUGGCGUUGGGGAUCGGCGGAGCCCCCCGUGGGCACACGCCGUCCCCCAAAUACAGUGGCGGUCCCGCCGCAGCUUCCAUCGCGUAGUAGCUAACACCUCGCGACUGGAGAGCGGCGCGGCCACGCCGUAAAACACCCAACUCUUCUGAAGCUGACCUCGAAUCAGGUAGGAAUACCCGCUGAACUUAAGCAUAUCAAUAAGCGGAGGA
rnacentral:misc_RNA from 1 species